GAUGAACGCUGGCGGCGUGCCUAAUACAUGCAAGUCGAGCGAACGGACGAGAAGCUUGCUUCUCUGAUGUUAGCGGCGGACGGGUGAGUAACACGUGGAUAACCUACCUAUAAGACUGGGAUAACUUCGGGAAACCGGAGCUAAUACCGGAUAAUAUUUUGAACCGCAUGGUUCAAAAGUGAAAGACGGUCUUGCUGUCACUUAUAGAUGGAUCCGCGCUGCAUUAGCUAGUUGGUAAGGUAACGGCUUACCAAGGCAACGAGGCAUAGCCGACCUGAGAGGGUGAUCGGCCACACUGGAAGUGAGACACGGUCCAGACUCCUACGGGAGGCAGCAGUAGGGAAUCUUCCGCAAUGGGCGAAAGCCUGACGGAGCAACGCCGCGUGAGUGAUGAAGGUCUUCGGAUCGUAAAACUCUGUUAUUAGGGAAGAACAUAUGUGUAAGUAACUGUGCACAUCUUGACGGUACCUAAUCAGAAAGCCACGGCUAACUACGUG
rnacentral:rRNA from 1 species